rnacentral:rRNA from 1 species
ACGCACGCUGGCGGCGUGCUUCACACAUGCAAGUCGCACGGAAAGGCCCUGCUUUUGUGGGGUGCUCGAGUGGCGAACGGGUGAGUAACACGUGAGUAACCUGCCCUUGACUUUGGGAUAACUUCAGGAAACUGGGGCUAAUACCGGAUAGGAGCUCCUGCUGCAUGGUGGGGGUUGGAAAGUUUCGGCGGUUGGGGAUGGACUCGCGGCUUAUCAGCUUGUUGGUGGGGUAGUGGCUUACCAAGGCUUUGACGGGUAGCCGGCCUGAGAGGGUGACCGGCCACAUUGGGACUGAGAUACGGCCCAGACUCCUACGGGAGGCAGCAGUGGGGAAUAUUGCACAAUGGGCGGAAGCCUGAUGCAGCAACGCCGCGUGCGGGAUGACGGCCUUCGGGUUGUAAACCGCUUUCGCCUGUGACGAAGCGUGAGUGAUGGUAAUGGGUAAAGAAGCACCGGCUAACUACGUG